CCCUUAGAUGUCCGGGGCCGCACGCGCGCUACACUGAAGGAAUCAGCGUGGCUUUCUCCCUGACCCGAAAGGGUUGGGAAACCCGUUGAAUCUCCUUCGUGAUAGGGAUUGGGGCUUGAAAUUGUUCCCCAUGAACGGGGAAUUCCCAGUAAGCGCGAGUCAUAAGCUCGCGUUGAUUACGUCCCUGCCCUUUGUACACACCGCCCGUCGCUACUACCGAUUGAACGGUUUAGUGAGGGCCUCGGAUUGGUCUCGGCCCGCUCUUUACCGGGCGGCGCCGUUGGUCGAGAAGACGCUCGAACUUGAUCGUUUAGAGGAAGUAAAAGUCGUAACA
rnacentral:rRNA from 1 species